AGCCCUCAAUGAUUCCCCCGCCCCACGUUCCGCGCUCGCGUAACUUCUAACGAUUCUUACGCGUACCCCUUAAUGUUCUUCCGCUCCGCGCUCCACUGUGGAGCGGCUUCUGAUAUUCUUCCGCCCCGAACUUUCCCCUAUAAGAACCCCCUUCGUACGACCUUUUCUUCUGAUUUCUUUUCUCUUUCUUUCCUUAAUCAAUUCGUAAUCUGUAAUUAGGAUAGUACCAAAUCGUUAAUCGAAGUACGCCCGUUACACAAUUGUAUGAUUUAUACUGGGUUCUUGAUGAGAGGGAAGCUUUUCAGCUUCUUUCUUAUUGAAUAUAUCUGUGAAGUCUUUGUACAAUUUGAGUAGUUUCUUGUGUGAUUUCUUGAGGUCUUUGGGUUCUAACUUUUCUAAUGCUUUUUUGAUAUCUGUCAUGCUAGCAG
rnacentral:sRNA from 1 species